rnacentral:lncRNA from 1 species
AUCCAGCUGCCAAUAUAGGGCAGCCCAAUCCGGUCCUCCUGAGCGACCAGGACCUCCACAGAGGGCACAGCAGAUGCCAGGCACUAAGGGCCGGCCCCCGCUGGGUGACCUGCCUGGCCCAGGAGAUGGAAGCUUGCAGCUGGUAGUGCCUUCCAGGCCUGCCCCACCACCCCCAGCAGCAUCUUCGCUCUACCUCUGACCCCUCGAGAUUCGGCUGUCUCCUGCUCAGUUCUAGGACUUAAAGUGGAACCUCUGUCUGAAUCUCCCACAAAACACUAGAGAAGCAGAAGCUUAGACAAUAUGGCAUCCAGCCCUAAAGAACCACCAGGCGCUGUUCAGUAGUACCUGGGACCCACUGAAUUACCUGCAGCUGAGUGUUGGGAAGGGGCUGGGGCUGGAGUAGGUGGUGGAAGGACGGGAAUGUGGUCUGUCUCUGCUCUGUUGUAAUAAAUGUGAGGUCUUGGAAU